UCCUGAUACUGUGCUGGUGGGUCCUGUCAUUGUGCUGGUGGGUCCUGAUACGGUGCUGGUGAUUUCGGAUAAGAAGUUGGUCAUAUUUGAAACAAAUGUUACAAAAUCAAUAAAAUUGGGCAGAUAAUUGUUGUCAAUAGAAUCCAUGACUCCUAUUUUAGCUCUUGUGCAUCCAUUUUGGCUGUUUAAUGUGUGUUUUCAAAUGAUCGUAACUUGUAUUACAUAAUUACAUAAAAGGGCAACAUCUGUCGUCCAAUAUCAGAUAACAAUAUAUAGUAUCUAAAAUAAGAAUAGUUUUAUUAAGAUAUUAAAUGCCCCUUACAUUGAUGCUUCAACAAUGAUCAAAGCCCAUGCCGCAUAGACAUGUUUGUUAGCGCUCCGCAUACCCCUCCCCACUUCCACCCAACCAACCCUCCUCAUUUCCUCCUUCAUUGUUACAGUGAUGUACCAACACAAC
rnacentral:lncRNA from 1 species